rnacentral:rRNA from 1 species
AGCGAACGCUGGCGGCAGGCCUAACACAUGCAAGUCGAGCGCUCAUCUUCGGAUGGGAGCGGCGCACGGGUGAGUAACACGUGGGAACCUACCUUGAAGUAUGGAAUAACUGAGGGAAACUUCAGCUAAUACCGAAUACGCCCUACGGGGGAAAGAUUUAUCGCUUCAAGACGGGCCCGCGUUGGAUUAGCUGGUUGGUGAGGUAAUGGCUCACCAAGGCGACGAUCCAUAGCUGAUUUGAGAGAAUGAUCAGCCACACUGGGACUGAGACACGGCCCAGACUCCUACGGGAGGCAGCAGUGGGGAAUAUUGGACAAUGGGCGCAAGCCUGAUCCAGCCAUGCCGCGUGAGUGAUGAAGGCCUUCGGGUUGUAAAGCUCUUUCAGAUGGGACGAUGAUGACGGUACCAUCAGAAGAAGCCCCGGCUAACUUCGUGCCAGCAGCCGCGGUAAUACGAAGGGGGCUAGCGUUGUUCGGAAUUACUGGGCGUAAAGCGCGCGUAGGCGGCUUUGUCAGUCAGGGGUGAAAUCCCGGGGCUUAACCUCGGAACUGCCUUUGAUACUGCAAGGCUUGAGUCUGUGAGAGGAUGGUGGAAUACCCAGUGUAGAGGUGAAAUUCGU